UGGGGAAUUUUGGACAAUGGGGGAAACCCUGAUCCAGCCAUCCCGCGUGUGCGAUGAAGGCCUUCGGGUUGUAAAGCACUUUUGGCAGGGAAGAAACGUCAUGGGUUAAUACCCCGUGCAACUGACGGUACCUUCAGAAUAAGCACCGGCUAACUACGUGCCAGCAGCCGCGGUAAUACGUAGGGUGCAAGCGUUAAUCGGAAUUACUGGGCGUAAAGCGUGCGCAGGCGGUUCGGAAAGAAAGAUGUGAAAUCCCAGAGCUCAACUUUGGAACUGCCUUUUUAACUACCGGGCUAGAGGGUGUCAGAGGGAGGUGGAAUUCCGCGUGUAGCAGUGAAAUGCGUAGAUAUGCGGAGGAACACCGAUGGCGAAGGCAGCCUCCUGGGAUAACACUGACGCUCAUGCACGAAAGCGUGGGGAGCAAACAGG
rnacentral:rRNA from 1 species